AGCGAACGCUGGCGGCAGGCCUAACACAUGCAAGUCGAACGAACUCUUCGGAGUUAGUGGCGGACGGGUGAGUAACACGUGGGAACGUGCCUUUUGGUUCGGAAUAACUCAGGGAAACUUGUGCUAAUACCGAAUGUGCCCUUCGGGGGAAAGAUUUAUCGCCCUUAGAGCGGCCCGCGUCUGAUUAGCUAGUUGGUGAGGUAACGGCUCACCAAGGCGACGAUCAGUAGCUGGUCUGAGAGGGUGAUCAGCCACACUGGGACUGAGACACGGCCCAGACUCCUCGGGGAGGGCGCAGUGGGUAAUCUUCCGGAAUGGGCGCAGGCCUGAUGGAGCAACGCCGCGUGAGUGCUGAAGGUCUUCGGAUCGUAAAACUCUGUUAUUGGGGAAGAACAUAUGUGUAAGUAACUGUGCACAUCUUGACGGUACCUAAUCAGAGAGCCACGGCUAACUACGUG
rnacentral:rRNA from 1 species